UGUCCAGACUCCUACGGGAGGCAGCAGUGGGGAAUAUUGGACAAUGGGGGGAACCCUGAUCCAGCGACGCCGCGUGAGUGAAGAAGUAUUUCGGUAUGUAAACUUCUAUCAGCAGGGAAGAAAAUGACGGUACCUGACUAAGAAGCCCCGGCUAACUACGUGCCAGCAGCCGCGGUAAUACGUAGGGGGCAAGCGUUAUCCGGAUUUACUGGGUGUAAAGGGAGCGUAGGCGGUGAUGCAAGUCAGAAGUGAAAGCCCGCAGCUCAACUGCGGGACUGCUUUUGAAACUGUAUGACUAGAUUGCAGGAGAGGUAAGUGGAAUUCCUAGUGUAGCGGUGAAAUGCGUAGAUAUUAGGAGGAACACCAGUGGCGAAGGCGGCUUACUGGACUGUAAAUGACGCUGAGGCUCGAAAGCGUGGGGAGCAAACAGGAUUAGAUACCCGCGUA
rnacentral:rRNA from 1 species